UACGUAGGGUGCGAGCGUUGUCCGGAAUUACUGGGCGUAAAGAGCUCGUAGGUGGUUUGUCGCGUUGUUCGUGAAAUCUCACGGCUUAACUGUGAGCGUGCGGGCGAUACGGGCAGACUGGAGUACUGCAGGGGAGACUGGAAUUCCUGGUGUAGCGGUGGAAUGCGCAGAUAUCAGGAGGAACACCGGUGGCGAAGGCGGGUCUCUGGGCAGUAACUGACGCUGAGGGACGAAAGCUAGGGGAGCGAACGGG
rnacentral:rRNA from 1 species